AUUAAGCCAUGCAUGUCUAAGUACAGACUAAAUCAAAGUGAAACCGCGAAAGGCUCAUUAAAUCAGCUAUGAUUCAUUGGAUCUGUAUGACCUGUUGUCUUACUUGGAUAACUGUGGUAAUUCUAGAGCUAAUACAUGCACAUAUAGUCCCUUGAAACCAUGUGUGUAGACGAAAGUGGUGAAAUACCCGCAAGUAAGAUGCACACGCGAAAUGGUUAUAAACAAGGGCGCUUUUAUUAGUAUCAAAACCGGUUCAGUCGGGCUUCGGUCCGUGAAACCUUAGUAUGAUGACUCUGGAUAACCUACAGCUAAGCGCACAGUCUAUUGUACUGGCGCUGCUUCUUUCAAGUGUCUGCCUUAUCAGCUUUCGAUUGUAAGUUAUACGCCUACAAUGGCGAUAACGGGUAACGGGGAAUCAGGGUUCGAUUCCGGAGAGGGAGCCUGAGAAACGGCUACCACAUCUAAGGAAGGCAGCAGGCACGCAAAUUACCCACUCCCGGCACGGGGAGGUAGUGACGAAAAAUAACGAUGCGAGACUCAUCCGAGGCCUCGCAAUCGGAAUGAGUACACUUUAAACACUUUAACAAGUAUCAAUUGGAGGGCAAGUCUGGUGCCAGCAGCCGCGGUAAUUCCAGCUCCAAUAGCAUAUAUUAAAGCUGUUGCGGUUAAAAAGCUCGUAGUUUGACUACCAGCUUGGGCUGAUGUUUUGGCUUAUGUAAAUCCUUUAAUAGGUAUUCCUUAACUGUCACGCUUUGGUUAACCGCUUCAACAGUUUGUUACAAAUUGUUAAGUGUUCUGGCUGGCUCACACGGGGUGCUCUUGACCGAGUGUCCCGAGUGGCUGGCAUGUUUACUUUGAAAAAAUUAGAGUGCUUAAAGCAGGCUACAAUUGAAGGCCUGAAUGCUGAUGCAUAGAAUAAUAAAAUAUGAUCUCUGGUCCAUUUUUUGGGGCAACAUAUAAUACAUGUUAACUGUACCGGUUUUCAUGGAUGAUGUACGUUGAUAACGAUGCUUACGACUCUUGAAUUAUCCCUAUUACAGGGUAUUUUUUCAUGUUGUUUGUAAUGCAAUGGACUUAUCAUGUCAUUGUCAUUGGAUCCAGAGAUAAUGAUUAAUAGACCCAAAAGGGGGCAUUUGUACUGCGACGCGAGAGGUGAAAUUCUUGGACCGUCGCAAGACAAACAACAGCGAAGGCAUUUGCCAAGGAUGUUUUCACUAAUCAAGAACGAAAGUUAGAGGUUCGAAGGCGAUCAGAUACCGCCCUAGUUCUAACCGUAAACGAUGCUAACCAGCGAUCCGCCGGUGUUAUAACAAUGACCCGGCCGGCAGCUUCCCGGAAACGAAAGUCUUUGAGUUCCGGGGGAAGUAUGGUUGCAAAGCUGAAACUUAAAGGAAUUGACGGAAGGGCACCACCAGGAGUGGAGCCUGCGGCUUAAUUUGACUCAACACGGGAAACCUCACCAGGUCCGGACACUAGGAGGAUUGACAGAAUGAAAGCUCUUUCUCGAUUCAGUGGGUGGUGGUGCAUGGCCGUUCUUAGUUGGU
rnacentral:rRNA from 1 species